rnacentral:lncRNA from 1 species
CGAUUAAUCUUGAUGAUCUGGUCGCACCUAAAGGAGAAAUGGAUCCAGCCUGUUAAAGCUCGGGGGAUGGAUCCUUGGUUUUUCUAUCACAGGGCGAGCGGAUCACUAAUGUGACCUCCCGUGUGGCACCGACGUCAGCGCGCCUUGCUGUGCGGGGCGCUCUGGUUCGUCGAGACUGCUGACUGGCGGUUCUACGUAGCUGU